CCACAUCUCUAUUUAUAACACACACUCCAAACACUGGGUCUCUCAGUUUCUGUCUGCAGGCCAUGGUCUGCUAAGUUCUGCAGCCUAAAUAAAAAGAUAUCUUGUAAUUUAUUGAAUUAGUCUUCGGGAAUAGUCUGCCAAGAUGAUUCCACAAUGCCUCAGCAAUGUUGAGGUCUGCACUCUAUGGUACUAUGGAGGCCAACUGCAUGUUCUUCUAUCCAGAUCUCCAACACCACUGGCCGAAGCCCAAACCAUGACAGAGCCUCCACCUUGUUUUAUAGAUGCCUGUACACACCGACUAUUGUACAGCUCCCCUUGUUUCCUACUUACACAUUGCCACCGAUUUUGAGCCCAGUUUUUGUGUGAUUUGGCGUAUCUCAGCAUUUCCCCCUGUUUUCCUUCCUUAUGAAGCACAGCCACCCUUCCACUGAGACCUGGUAGAAGAGUGACUGACAUUUCACUGUUCCAGAAACAUUUCACUGAUGUUUCAGGCCUCAUGAUUUUCUUCAAUUUCCUCACUUUUGUUCAGGACACAGUGCACACCAUGCCAAAACCAUCAAGUUUGUGGCUAGUGGGAAUCAUCUUGUUGGUGCAAAAAAUACAGUUUUAUCCC